rnacentral:tRNA from 1 species
GCGGGUGUAGCCGAAUUGGUACAGGCGUAGGAUUUAGGAUCCUAUGGGCGAAAGCCUAUGGGGGUUCGACUCCCUCCACCCGCA